AGAGUCAAUGGAGAAAAUGCCCGGGUACAUGGGCAUUUAGCAGACCAGGAAAGGACUGAAAAGCAGAUCUGAACAGCAGAAAGUGUGGAGAAGAGAUUGGAGUGAGGCAAUACAUGGGAGCAAGACUGCAGGCUGGACGAUGGAUCAGGAAUUCAUUGCAAUAAUCAGGCCCAGGGAUAACCAAGACCUACUGACAGCUACUACAUGAGUGAGCUCGGAAGUCGGUCCUAACUCAGCUGCAGCCUUCUGGAGACUGCAGUCCCUCUGGACAGCUUAACUGCAACUUCAUGAGAGACCUUGAACCUAAACCACCAGGGACCCAAAUUUCUGACCCACAGAAACUAUGAGACAAAGUUUUUUGCUAUAAGUUGGUAAAUUUGUUAUUUACCAAAUUUGGGGGUAAUUUGUUAUACAUACAUGGAUAACUAAUUCAUCAGAUUAAUGAAAGUGAAGGGAAGGUGGUGAUCGGUUUCCAGGACCCAGCACAGUUGGAUAACUUUCUCCAGCAGCCCUAGACAACUCCAGACAAUAUGCUUGUCGACUUUAUAUGCCAUUGAUAUUAUGCGAUGUCCAAUAAUAUCUUUUUUUAAUGGUAUUUUUUAUUUUUUUCUUUCUAAUUUUGCUGUUUUAAGGCUGUGGUUCCCAGGUUAGGGGUUGAAUCAGAGCUGUAGCUGCCAGCCUAAGCCAUAGCCACAGAAACACAGGAUCCAAGCCGCGUCUUCGACCUAUACCACAGCUCACGGCAACGCCGGAUCCUUAACCCACUGAGUGAGGCCAGGGACUGAACCCACAUCCUCAUGGACCCUAGUAGGGUUCGUUAACCACUGAGCCACGAAGGGAACUCCUUCGAUAGUAUCUUUUGAUAAAAUAAUUUUGCCAAAAUCUUAUUUAACUUUCUUAAUGAGCUAUUAACCAUUAACACUAUGUCUGACUUUAAAAGCUUUUUGACAAGAAUGUGUCCUGUCACUGUUUUGACUUUAAAAAGCAUAACUUGAAGUUCCCAUCACGGCAUGCAGAAAUGAAUCUGACUAGGAACCAUAAGGUUGUGAGUUUGAUCCCUGGCCUAUGCUCAGUGGGUUAAGGAUCCAGCGUUACCGUGAGCAAUGGUGUAGUUCGCAGAGGCGGCUCAGAUCUGGCGUUGCUGUGGCUGUGCUGUAGGCUGGCAGUUGUAGCUCCGAUUAGACCCCUAGUCUGGGGACCUCCAUGUGCCACUAGUGUGGCCCUAAAAAGCAAAAAAAAAAAAAAAAAAAAAAAAAAAAUUUAAAUAAAUAAAAAGCAUAACUUUAUUUUUUUAUUUUUAUUUUAUUUUAUUAAGGGCUGCACAUGUGGCAUAUGGAAGUUCUCAGGCUAGGGGUCAAAUAGGAGCUGCAGCUGCAGGCCUAUGCCACAGCCACAGCCACACCAGAUCCAAGCCUUACCUGUGGCCUAAACCACAGCUCAUGGCAAUGCUGGAUCCUUAACCCACAGAGCGAGGCCUGGGCUCGAACCCGAAACAUCAUGGUUACUAGUUGGAUUGGUUUCCACUAGUUCCCAUUGGUUCUGGGAACUCCGGAUAGCUUUAUAGUUUUGAUCACUUCUCUUACUUUUAGGAAGAAAUUUUAUCAAUGUUAUAUCAGUAAACAUUAUUUUGUGGGAUCUUCUUCCUCCAGAAAAAAUAUUUUUUGUGGUUACUAGAUUGGCCACCGAACUUUUUUCAAAAAUGGCACUAAAAUUUCAUUUGUUUGACUAAGUUUCAUAAUCUAUGUAAUGAAAUAGAUGUAAUGUACUGGGGGCCAGGGGCAAAUAGACUACCAGUUUAAUAAAAACAUACAUCUUGGAGCCUCA
rnacentral:lncRNA from 1 species